CGGGUUGUCACGGGAAGAAAAUGGAUCUGGACUAAUUCAUGGCACGUGGACACCCACGCGUCCAGAGGGACCGCAGGUCAGAGGUCAGAGGGCUCUGUGUUAUGCAUGAAGCCUGGCCCCUCGCACCGAUGAAUAAGUGUGAGCGAUUUGCUUCCGAAGCCAGAUUCCUGCUCUAGAAAAUCAAAAGGAUGCUUCGCAGAGAGCUAAAGAAGAUGGUGGAGGAGUAAGACGGGGAGAUCGCUUGCCUUCUCACAAACACAUCAAAAACUCAUCAAAACAUGAAACAGCUCCUACAGAGCAGCUUCUACACAACAGCAGAAGACCCCGGGCUUCUAAAAAGGCAAGCUAGUCUCCCUGGAGCGAGACAUCGAGCCAAUGUUGCAAAGUGGUUAUCCUCCAAAUAAAAAUGAAAAGAGUAAAACA
rnacentral:lncRNA from 1 species